rnacentral:lncRNA from 1 species
AUGAAAGGUCAUUGCAUUUUUCGUGAAUACAUCAAUCGUCGUUGUUCAAUGAACUAAUUUAACUCUUGCUUCUCCACCUUCCCUCCCAAAUCGUUUGUGCUUCCACACACGUAUACAAGAGGGAGUCUCUGCCUCUCUUCGUUUUCAAUUUGACCAAGAUUAGGUUUAGUUCUUCCCCAAAUACACAAACAAUCACUCAAUUAGAAACAAGAUUAUCAUGUAAAACACCAAUUUCUAUUAGUAGAUUCCUCUUAAUCGAUUCAAUUUCGCUUUUUUGUGGCCCAUGAACAUUUUAGGGUUUCCCGCACACUUGACAUAUUGAAAAGAACACACACAUAGAUUCUAAGGGGCAUGAGGUUUGGAAGUGGUGAAUUUUCGUGAAUUCAGGUGUGGAGGGUAAGUGAGAAUUGAGAAGAUGACGGAUGCUCGGUUACAAUGGUUACAGAGCCGGAGGGUACGACGGAUGCGUGUUCGGAAGAUGGUGAUUUUGAGAGGGGGUUGGAGGAGUUUUGCCAAUUAUCAGGUUUAAGUUUUGCUCUUCUAUUCCAGCUGAUCAUAUUUAAAGGAGGGUAAGAUCUGAUUUGGUUAUUACAUCAUUGUCGUCACCGGGGAGAGCUGAUUUGGAGAAUAAGCGUUGUUUUGGUGACAUAAGAAGGUUCAAUGGUUUAUAGAUUUAGGGAUUAUGCCUUACCUUCUUCUACAGUAGAUGAUUUUUGACGUGUAACCACCAAUUCCAGCAGAAGCAAAGGUGUUGAACUGAUUGGCGACGAAUCAGAUUCUGGUCAAGACUAGGGUACUUCGUGCCUCGCAAUAACUCCGGCUACGAGCUUGGGCGCAACAGAGGUGACAGAGACGUUAGGGUCUUCCUAUGGGAUAAAUGGUGGUGGCCAGCUUACGGCUAUAAGGGCGGUGACCGGUGGUUCGAUUUUGGUGAUUUAAAAUUAUGCCACAUGGAAUAUGUUGAUAAAACCAUGGAAGGAAGGCCGUUUGUACUACCGUAUCGAGGAAUGAUGUACUACUGAAAAGCUCUAAUGCUUCAAGCUUAUUUGGAAAGAAUGACUCUUGGAAGUUUUAGUUUUCUCCUUUCGAGGAUAGUUUUAUUAUUGCUAGGUGUACGCCUAAAAAACAUAAUCACCCACGGCAACGCACGGACAUUCCCAUUGGAGGUUGUCCAAAACU